rnacentral:lncRNA from 1 species
CCCGGUUUCACCUUUCCCUUCAGCCAAGAUUUCAAGUUUCCCCAAGCCUCCCUAGAAGCAGAAGCCUGUACGGCCUGCAGAACUGAUGAUGUGGCAAGAAAACUCUUGCCAGAUGCUGGCACCUUGAUGUUGGCACCAGCCUCCAAGACUCUGAUAAGUGCAGGGAGCAACUCCUCCACUGGGCUUUCUUCUUCCUGAUGGAACAGAUGAAGGAGGUUAGUGGGAUGAU